rnacentral:rRNA from 1 species
UACGGAGGGUGCAAGCGUUAUCCGGAUUUACUGGGUUUAAAGGGUGCGUAGGCGGAUUUGUAAGUCCGAGGUGACAUCUCCGAUCUUAACUCGGACACUGCCUUGGAUACUAUAAGUCUUGAAUGACGUUGAGGUUAGCGGAAUAUGUCAUGGAGCGGUGAAAGGCUGAGAUAUGACAUAGAACAUCUAUUGCGAAGGCAGCUAACUAAGCGUAUAUUGACGCUGAUGCACGAAAGCGUGGGGAUCAAACAGG